CCUACGGGGAGCUGCAGUGGGGGAUAUUGCACAAUGGGGGAAACCCUGAUGCAGCGACGCCGCGUGGGUGAAGAAGUAUUUCGGUAUGUAAAGCCCUAUCAGCAGGGAAGAAAGAAGACGGUACCUGACUAAGAAGCACCGGCUAACUACGUGCCAGCAGCCGCGGUAAUACGUAGGGGGCGAGCGUUAUCCGGAUUCACUGGGUGUAAAGGGAGCGUAGACGGCCGUGCAAGCCAGGAGUGAAAGCCCGGGGCCCAACCCCGGGACUGCUCUUGGAACUGUGCGGCUGGAGUGCGGGAGGGGCAGGCGGAAUUCCUGGUGUAGCGGUGAAAUGCGUAGAUAUCAGGAGGAACACCGGCGGCGAAGGCGGCCUGCUGGACCGCGACUGACGUGGAGGCUCGAAAGCGUGGGGAGCGAACAGGAUUAGAUACCCCUGUAGUC
rnacentral:rRNA from 1 species